rnacentral:rRNA from 1 species
UACGGAGGGUGCGAGCGUUAAUCGGAAUUACUGGGCGUAAAGCGCGCGUAGGCGGCUUGUUAAGCCGGAUGUGAAAUCCCCGGGCUCAACCUGGGACCUGCACCCGGAACUGGCAAGCUAGAGUACGGUAGAGGUGAGUGGAAUUUCCUGUGUAGCGGUGAAAUGCGUAGAUAUAGGAAGGAACAUCAGUGGCGAAGGCGGCUCACUGGACUGAUACUGACGCUGAGGUGCGAAAGCGUGGGGAGCAAAC